UACGACGGGGGCUAGCGUUGUUCGGAUUUACUGGGCGUAAAGGGCGCGUAGGCGGAUUUUUAAGUCGGGGGUGAAAUCCCGGGGCUCAACUCCGGAACUGCCUUCGAUACUGAUAGUCUGGAGCACGGUAGAGGUGAGUGGAAUUCCGAGUGUAGAGGUGAAAUUCGUGGAUAUUCGGAGGAACACCAGUGGCGAAGGCGGCUCACUGGACCGUUGCUGCCGCUGAGGCGCGAAAGCGUGGGGAGCAAACAGG
rnacentral:rRNA from 1 species